AAAUGAUCUUCAGUGCAUUUAUUGUAUAAAAGUUUGUAAAGAGGGAGUUAAUAGAAUCAAGCAAUACCUUGCUGAAGGUUACAAAAAUGUGAUUCAAUGUCCAAAAUGCAGUCAAAUUCAAGAAUUCAUUAGUUAAAAAAAAAAAGUUAUGAAUACGGAAAGACUACCUAAAUUUGAUGAUGUUGAAAUAUUGGGAAUUGAUGAAAAUGGGGAAAAGGAAGAG
rnacentral:misc_RNA from 1 species